GCUGAGCACAACGCAGCUCCGCCCUCGCAAAGGCACAGCGCGGGCGCAGGCGCCCAGAGGCGCACAGGAGACCUCAGGCCCAGACUCCACUCCCCAGCUGUGAAAGGACUGCUGGCCAGACCCCCAAGCUAGCCCGCCAGGCCUCCAUAGAGCUGCCCAGCAUGGCUGCAUCCAGUACCAAGAGUUGGUGGGAGACGGGUGAGGUAUAGGCUCAGUCUGCGGCCAAGACUCCGUCCUGCAAGGAUAUUGUGGCUGGAGACAUGAGCAAGAAAAGCCUCUGGGAGCAGAAGGGAGGCUCCAAGACCUCAUCAACAAUUAAGGAAGGAGUGAUUGGCUGCUGGUCCUGCCCUGUCCGAGGAGGAGGACGGAACCCACCCACCAAGCUGUGGAGAGGUGGACCCCACAAAUCCCCUCGCAAGCCACGUCUGAGAGCGAGCAGAGGGAAGAAACUCAAGCGUUUGUAGUCCUCUUUCUUAACAACCAGGCUUAAAGCGCCAUCUUGUGUCUUGAAGGCAGAAGGAGAUCAGGAUGUGUGUGCUAGAAGCAGGCAGAGGAUCUUCACCAAUGUCUCAAAAACUAGAGAAGGAAACAUGGCGAUCCUCAAGGCCCGCGGCGGCCCCAGCCCUUCCCGCACCCUGCGAUAGUCUGGUGUUGGGAGGGUGGCCCACGUGUCCAAGCAACCACAUCAGGGAGGUUCUGGGAGAGGAGAAGGCAAAGCUCAUGCCCUCAUGAGGCAGGCAGUCCCAUCCAGGACUGGACUGGAUGAGCACCAAUAAAUAAGAAAACACAGCUGGCAGCUGACUGUGAAGGGUCUGGACAGGGUGCCGAAGUGAAGCGUAAUGAGCUGGAUAGUGAGGACCUCACUACAGAGGGACAUCUAUCUACACACAGCCUGAAGGGUGAGAAAGAUGGAUCCUUGCCCUGAGCCAGAAGUGCACACCCCAGAGAGAGCAGCUCCUGCGGAGGUCCUGUGGGGCAGGCAUGGUAGGAAUAUUAAAGAGAAGAAGCCAGGUGUGGCUGCAGCCAUGCAGGAGGAAGGGCGAUGGGGUUGGGGAGGCAGAGGAUGGGACUGGCAUGAGAAGAUGGAGAUGCAGAGCCCAGAUCGUGAUAGCCCCAAUAGUCCACGGGUAGGAGUUUGUAUUUUCUACUAAAAGCAAUGGGAGGGCGGGGCGCGGUAGCUCAAGCCUAUAAUUCCAGCACUUUGGGAGGCCGAGGCGGGUGGAUCACCUGAGGUCA
rnacentral:lncRNA from 1 species